rnacentral:rRNA from 1 species
GGACCCGCACAAGCGGUGGAGCAUGUGGUUUAAUUCGAUGCAACGCGAAGAACCUUACCUGGUCUUGACAUCCUGCGAACUUUCUAGAAAUAGAUUGGUGCCUUCGGGAACGCAGUGACAGGUGCUGCAUGGCUGUCGUCAGCUCGUGUCGUGAGAUGUUGGGUUAAGUCCCGUAACGAGCGCAACCCCUAUCCUUAUUUGCCAGCACAUCAUGGUGGGAACUAUAAGGAGACUGCCGGUGAUAAACCGGGAGGAAGGCGGGGACGACGUCAAGUCAUCAUGGCCCUUACGACCAGGGCUACACACGUGCUACAAUGGGAAGGACAAAGAGCCGCGAAGCCGCGAGGUGUAGCUAAUCCUAAGAAAGUUUCUCGUAGUCCGGAUUGGAGUCUGCAACUCGACUCCAUGAAGUCGGAAUC